CGUUAACGAACGAGACCUUAACCUGCUAAAUAGCUAGGCCUAACAUUGUUAGGUCGCCAGCUUCUUAGAGGGACUAUCGGUGUUUAACCGAUGGAAGUUUGAGGCAAUAACAGGUCUGUGAUGCCCUUAGAUGUUCUGGGCCGCACGCGCGCUACACUGAUCAAGUCAGCGAGUUUACAACCUUGGCCGGAAGGUCUGGGUAAUCUUUUGAAACUUCAUCGUGCUGGGGAUAGAGCAUUGCAAUUAUUGCUCUUAAACGAGGAAUCCCUAGUAAGCACAAGUCACCAGCUUGUGCUGAUUACGUCCCUGCCCUUUGUACACACCGCCCGUCGCUACUACCGAUUGAAUGGCU
rnacentral:rRNA from 1 species